GCCCUGACCAGGGAUCAAACCUGCAACCUUACGUAACGGGGUAAUGUUCUAACCAUCUGAGCUACCAGGCAGGGCUGUUCUUAUCAGUUUAAUAUCUGAUAUGUCCUCUAUCUAAGGACAGCAUAUUAAAUGGACUUCUGAAGCAGGGAGAUGGAAUAGGAGCUUGCUGUGUCUAUUCCAAACAUCCACCUGGUAUUGCAGUACUUCGGGAAUGGUGCACUACAAGAAAAAAGAAGAAAAAAAUUAAGGCCCAUCAUUCUUCUGUUUGCUGUUAAAUCCUUCUCUCCUUGCAGUUGGGCAAGCUUUCACUACUCUGGCCAAUGAAUUGUGUCCAGAGAUAGUAUGAUCAGUUCUGAGCCACUGGUGAUGAACGGGUGCCCAGUUACCCAUAUUCUCUCCUUCCGCUGGGGCUAACCCUGAAGCAUCAUGUUGAGAUGGAGCUGACACAGUAUCAAAGCAGCCUGGAAUAGCAUGUCAUUACAUGGAGGACAGCUGCCCCGGAGAGCCAUCUGGACCCAUGUUGGACUGUGUGUGAAUGAAAAAUAAACUUUUUUGUUAAGGAAC